rnacentral:lncRNA from 1 species
GCGGACGCCCCAACCCCGUGGCCCCCUCGAACCCCACGUGCUUCCUAAAAACACUUAGAACCGUUCCAAUACCUUUAGUACCACGCUCGGCUCAGGCCCAUCCUCAGCUCAGAGCGCGGUAGCACUGUCCUCCCGCCCAGGAGGUUUAAGGCCUGGCUAAACUCCGCCCCCCACCGCCCUGGCCAAUCAGGAGCCACGUCCUCCGGCGCGCUCCUUCCCCGCCCCGCCUCCCGUCUCCAUGGGAACGAUCUGAGCGUCUACUCCGCGUCCUGGGGCGUCGGUUUCGGUCCCGCCCGGCUGCGGCCGUUGUUUGCUGGGACAGUCCUUGGGCCGGUCUCCGUCCCUGUCCAGAGGCUCCGUACGUGAGGCGGACUCUCGGGAGCACCGAGCCGGGCGCGGAUAAGGGCGAGGACAGCUGUUGCAGGAACGGGGGCAGAAAAGGAGGACCAGGGGCCGAGAAGCCGCUCUGGCUACGAAAUCUCAGACACCGUUGUAAAUGGGUGCUUCACAGCCGCCCGCCCCACGUUAAAACUGAAGAAGAGGUGCAAGGAGGCGGAAGCAGCUUGGGCCUCGGGACCGAGGGUCCUGUGAUCAGCAAGGGAGGACCAGAGAGGCUCAUGCCUCCGUUUUACAGCUCAGCCUUCUCGACCCUCCACCCUUCCCCAAAAAAGGAGCACAAAGGAGCAAGCAGGGGUCACGCCUUUCCUCACAGUCUGACCCGGUUACGUGAGGCAGCCCGAGGUAACCAGAUCCACGUCUACGAAGAGGAGAAAUAGAACCUACCGUGGCGGGUUGUUAAGAAGAUUCGCUAAGUUCAUUCAUUUGAAAAACUCAUCACAGAGCUUGACAAACAGGCCUAACCAUUGGCUGCGAUUAUGUUAUCAUCACAGGGAGCAAGAACCUUGGCCGCCGUCUCGGUUUCCCGAAUACUUACUGGUCUCUAGUUUUAUGUGACUUUUAAGAUCUGUGUGGGCAUUUUUUAUAUUGGCAUUUGUACAUCACUAGGAAUUUGUCCUUUUAUGUAGAGGUUCACAUGUAUUUGCAUAUAGUUCAUAAUACC